GUCUAUGGCCAUGCCACCCUGAACAAGCCCAAUCCCGUCUGAUCUCGGAAGCUAAGCAGGGUCUAGCCUGGUUAGUACUUGGAUGGGAGACCACCUAGAAAGACCAGAUGCUGUAGGCA
rnacentral:rRNA from 1 species